ensembl:lncRNA
GCGAUAGAGGGAUAGAGGAGAGAAAAGAGGAAGGAAUAGAGGAAUAGAGGGAGAGAGGAGAGAAGAAAGGGAGGGAUAGAGGGAUAGAUGGGAGAAGAGGGAGGGAUAGAGGAGAGAAAAGAGGGAGGGAUAAAGGGAUAGAAGGAUACAGGGAUAGAGGAAUAGAUGGGAGAAUAGAGGGAUAGAGGGGAGAAGAAAAGGAGGGAUUGAGGAAUAGAGGGGAGAAAAAAGGGAAAGAGGUAUAGAAGGGAGAAGAGAGUGAGGGAUAGAGGGGAGAAGAGAAGGAAGGAUAGAGGAAUAGAGGAAUCAAGAAUUAGAGGAAUAGACGGGAGACGAGAAGAAGAGAGAGGGGAGAAGAGAAGGAGGGAUAGCGGGGAGAAGAGAGAGGAAUAGAGGGAUAGAGGGGUAGAGGGGAGAAGAGAAGGAGGAAUAGAGGGAUAGAGGGAAAACAGGAGAAGAGAGGGAGGGAUAGAGGAAUGGACCGGAGAAGGAGAGAUAAUGAGGAGAAGAGAGAGAGGAAUAGAGGGAUAGAGGGGAGAAGAGGGGGAGGAAUAGAUGGAUAGAGGGAUAAAGGGGAGAACAGAGGGAGGGAUUGAGGAAUAGAAGAGAGAAGAGAGAGAGGGAUAGAGGGAUAGAGGAGAGAAAAGAGGGAGGGAUAGAGGAAUAGACGGAUAGAGGGGAGAAGAGAGGGAUAGACAGGAGAAGUGAAGGAGGAAUAGAGGGAUAGAGGGUUAGAUGGGAGAAGAGAGGGAGGGAUAGAGGAGAGUAGGGAAGGAGGGAUAGAGGGAUAGAGGGAUAGAGGGAUAGAGGGAUAGAGGAAUAGAGGAAUAGAGGAAUAGAGGAAUAGAGGAAUAGAGGAAUAGAGGAAUAGAGGAAUAGAGGAAUAGAGGAAUAGAGGAAUAGAGGAAUAGAGGAAUAGAGGAAUAGAGGAAUAGAGGAAUAGAGGAAUAGAGGAAUAGAGGAAUAGAGGAAUAGAGGAAUAGAGGAAUAGAGGAAUAGAGGAGAGAAAAGAGGGAUAGAGGGAUGGAGGGAUAGAGGGGUGAAGAGUGGGAGAGAGA